UNNNUUUAAGUNAGUCUCAUGGCCCUUACGGCCAGGGCUCACACGUACUACAAUGGUAGGGACAGAGGGCUGCAAGCCGGCGACGGUAAGCCAAUCCCAGAAACCCUAUCUCAGUCCGGAUUGGAGUCUGCAACUCGACUCCAUGAAGUCGGAAUCGCUAGUAAUCGCAGAUCAGCAUUGCUGCGGUGAAUACGUUCCCGGGCCUUGUACACACCGCCCGUCACACCAUGGGAGUUUGUUGCACCAGAAGCAGGUAGCUUAACCUUCGGGAGGGCGCUUGCCACGGUGUGGCCGAUGACUGGGGUGAAGUCGUAACAAGGUAGCCGUAUCGGAAGGUGCGGUUGGAUNAC
rnacentral:rRNA from 1 species